AGUACAGACGAGUUUGAUCCUGGCUCAGAAUGAACGCUGGCGGCAGGCCUAAAACAUGCAAGUCGAACGCUGUAGCAAUACAGAGUGGCGCACGGGUGAGUAACAUGUGGGAAUAUGCCUAUUGGUACGGAACAACGUUUGGAAACGAACGCUAAUACCGUAUGGUCCCUUCGGGGUAAAGAUUUAUCGCCAAUAGAUUAGCCCGCACUAGAUUAGCUAGUUGGUGAGGUAAGAGCUCACCAAGGCGACGAUCUAUAGCUGGUCUGAGAGGACGAUCAGCCACACUGGGACUGAGACACGGCCCAGACUCCUACGGGAGGCAGCAGUUAGGAAUAUUGGACAAUGGGCGCAAGCCUGAUCCAGCCAUGCCGCGUGAGUGAUGAAGGCCUUCGGGUUGUAAAACUCUUUAGCCGAUGAAUAUAAUGACUGUAGUCGGAAAAUAAGCCCCGGCUAACUUCGUG
rnacentral:rRNA from 1 species